AUGUUUACAAAUAUGCUACAACAUGUUAAAAUGUGCCUGCGCUCUUUUUUUUUUAUUAUUAUUAUUUUUUUCUCCUCACCCUGUUUUGGUGCGAGAGCUGUGCCGGCAGCAGAGGUGCGCCAAGGGCUCCUGGCAGAGGGCUCACCGUGCUCCACCACCAACUCGCAGACGUUUUGCUUUCAUUACUUAAAAGUGCUGUUAAACUCCAAACCAGCUGUAGGAAUGACAAGUUCAAAUCAGGAGGCACGCCAAAAUGAUGCUGACCAGGCCACUGGGAAUGCUGCUGGAGCCCGUGGCAGCAUCCCUCGUGGGCUGUGUCCGUGGGGAGCUCACGAUCCGGCUGCUGGAGGCUGGGAGGUUUUUGCCCGGUCGGUGCAGAAUGGAUGGGUGGAUGCAGCGAUGGCUCAAAUAUGCUCACUGCACAGCUUUAGCUAUGCACAGAGAAGCUGCCAAAUCAGCAGUGUUUUCUCCUGCACUCCAUAAGUGUUAGCUCAGCUCUUUUCCCUGGAGAUCUGAGGACCGGACUCUGCAGGUCUCCACGAUGCUGAGCUCUGUCCCGGGUCCUGCUCCAAGACUGGUGGAUUUUGGUUGCACGGUGGACCAGAGGAGGUGGUGGUGUCUGCUGGCGCCUUCGCAGCUUUGCCAGCCCUCAUUAGCACCUUCCGGCGCGGCGCAGCUUGUUCAAACCAUAUCACAAGUCUUCUGCUUGAGAUUGCAUCUGUGCCUAAUAUGCAUUUUUAUAUAAACAAGGGUACUAAAUGGCCUCUCAGUUCCCUCUGUAAUGUCUUUUUUAAUGGAAGGUCCUGAAUUAAGAACAUAUAUAUAUGACUCUAAGAAUUUUCUAAGUGAUAUUGAAAAGCUAUUGUAAGGUAGGAUUCCUUCUUGCAAAAUUAUUUUAAUGAGGUUCCAGUUUAUUUUCUGGCUAUAUUUUACUUAUUUAAUCCUCCAGAGGGGUUUUUCAGAGGCAGCAUCUCAUUUUCAAUGCAACUAUUCUUAACAUUAGGGAAAACUACCUUUCUGAAAUGCAUGAAGGGAAAAAAAAAAAAAAAAAAAAAGAGAACCAGAGGAAGAUGUACGAGAUAAGAAUAAACUUGAAAAGCUUUGAGGUGGUUUAUGGCUU
rnacentral:lncRNA from 1 species